UAGGGGAAUCUUCCACAAUGGGCGCAAGCCUGAUGGAGCAACGCCGCGUGAGUGAAGAAGGUCUUCGGAUCGUAAAACUCUGUUGUUAGAGAAGAACAUGCAGGAGAGUAACUGUUCUUGUAUUGACGGUAUCUAACCAGAAAGCCACGGCUAACUAGUGCUAG
rnacentral:rRNA from 1 species